rnacentral:rRNA from 1 species
GCGCUACACUGAUGCAUUCAACAAGCCUAUCCUUGACCGAAGGGUCUGGGUAAUCUUUGAAACUGCAUCGUGAUGGGGAUAGAUUAUUGCAAUUAUUAGUCUUCAACGAGGAAUGCCUAGUAAGCGCAAGUCAUCAGCUUGCGUUGAUUACGUCCCUGCCCUUUGUACACACCGCCCGUCGCUCCUACCGAUUGGGUGUGCUGGUGAAGUGUUCGGAUUGGCAGCUUAGGGUGGCAACACCUCAGGUCUGCCGAGAAGUUCAUUAAACCCUCCCACCUAGAGGAAGGAGAAGUCGUAACAAGGUUUCCGUAGGUGAACCUGCGGAAGGAUCAUUGAAUUAUUAAAACCACAAUGCGAACCUAUCUGUUCCGUGCCUUAGCUGCCAGCAAGGCAAUUGGCUUGCCCAAUUGUACUUGCAAGCUGGUGCGAGUAAUUUGAUUACUUGCAUCAGUGGCGCUUUGGCAUGCUUAUACACCAGUGCUAACCACUGUCAAAACCAAACUCUGAAGCUUUGAUUGCUAUUAACUGGCAAUCUUAACCAAAGACAACUCUCAACAACGGAUAUCUUGGCUCUCGCAACGAUGAAGAACGCAGCGAAAUGCGAUACGUAGUGUGAAUUGCAGAAUUCCGUGAACCAUCGAAUCUUUGAACGCAUAUUGCGCUCGAGCCCUCGGGCAAGAGCAUGUCUGCCUCAGCGUCGGUUUAUACCCUCACCCCUCUCUCCUUUUGGAGGGCUGGUCAGCUUCUAGUUGGCCUCAGGGAUGGAUCUGGCUUUCCCAAUUGGUUCACUCCGAUUGGGUUGGCUGAAGCUUAGAGGCUUAAGCAAGGACCCGAUAUGGGCUUCAACUGGAUAGGUAGCACCGGCUUCUGCCGACUACACGAAGUUGUGGCUUGUGGACUUUGCUAGAGGCCAAGCAGGAAACAUGCUUUGCAUGUCUUAAACUUUCGACCUGAGCUCAGGCAAGGCUACCCGCUGAACUUAAGCAUAUCAAUAAGCGGAGGAAAAGAAACUAACUAGGAUGCGCUUAGUAACGGCGAGCGAACCGCGCAAAGCCCAACUUGAAAAUCUCCCUUGGAGAAUUGUAGUCUAUAGAAGUACCCUCUGUAACGGGCGCAGCUCAAGUCUCCUGGAAAGGGGCGUCAGAGAGGGUGAGAACCCCGUAAGCUGUUGCUUUGUUGCCUCACGAGGUGCUUUCAAAGAGUCGGGUUGCUUGGGAAUGCAGCCCAAAUUUGGUGGUAAAUCCGCGCUACACUGAUGCAUUCAACAAGCCUAUCCUUGACCGAAGGGUCUGGGUAAUCUUUGAAACUGCAUCGUGAUGGGGAUAGAUUAUUGCAAUUAUUAGUCUUCAACGAGGAAUGCCUAGUAAGCGCAAGUCAUCAGCUUGCGUUGAUUACGUCCCUGCCCUUUGUACACACCGCCCGUCGCUCCUACCGAUUGGGUGUGCUGGUGAAGUGUUCGGAUUGGCAGCUUAGGGUGGCAACACCUCAGGUCUGCCGAGAAGUUCAUUAAACCCUCCCACCUAGAGGAAGGAGAAGUCGUAACAAGGUUUCCGUAGGUGAACCUGCGGAAGGAUCAUUGAAUUAUUAAAACCACAAUGCGAACCUAUCUGUUCCGUGCCUUAGCUGCCAGCAAGGCAAUUGGCUUGCCCAAUUGUACUUGCAAGCUGGUGCGAGUAAUUUGAUUACUUGCAUCAGUGGCGCUUUGGCAUGCUUAUACACCAGUGCUAACCACUGUCAAAACCAAACUCUGAAGCUUUGAUUGCUAUUAACUGGCAAUCUUAACCAAAGACAACUCUCAACAACGGAUAUCUUGGCUCUCGCAACGAUGAAGAACGCAGCGAAAUGCGAUACGUAGUGUGAAUUGCAGAAUUCCGUGAACCAUCGAAUCUUUGAACGCAUAUUGCGCUCGAGCCCUCGGGCAAGAGCAUGUCUGCCUCAGCGUCGGUUUAUACCCUCACCCCUCUCUCCUUUUGGAGGGCUGGUCAGCUUCUAGUUGGCCUCAGGGAUGGAUCUGGCUUUCCCAAUUGGUUCACUCCGAUUGGGUUGGCUGAAGCUUAGAGGCUUAAGCAAGGACCCGAUAUGGGCUUCAACUGGAUAGGUAGCACCGGCUUCUGCCGACUACACGAAGUUGUGGCUUGUGGACUUUGCUAGAGGCCAAGCAGGAAACAUGCUUUGCAUGUCUUAAACUUUCGACCUGAGCUCAGGCAAGGCUACCCGCUGAACUUAAGCAUAUCAAUAAGCGGAGGAAAAGAAACUAACUAGGAUGCGCUUAGUAACGGCGAGCGAACCGCGCAAAGCCCAACUUGAAAAUCUCCCUUGGAGAAUUGUAGUCUAUAGAAGUACCCUCUGUAACGGGCGCAGCUCAAGUCUCCUGGAAAGGGGCGUCAGAGAGGGUGAGAACCCCGUAAGCUGUUGCUUUGUUGCCUCACGAGGUGCUUUCAAAGAGUCGGGUUGCUUGGGAAUGCAGCCCAAAUUUGGUGGUAAAUCC